AACGAACGCUGGCGGCAUGCCUAACACAUGCAAGUCGAACGAGACCUUCGGGUCCAGUGGCGCACGGGUGCGUCACGCGUGGGAACCUGCCCUUAGGUUCGGAAUAACUCCCCGAAAGGGAUGCUAAUACCAGACAAUGUCUUCGGACCAAAGAUUUAUCGCCUUUGGAUGGGCCCGCGUUGGAUUAGCUAGUUGGGAGGGUAAAAGCAUAUCAAGGGGACGAUCCAUAGCUGGUCUCAGAGGAAGAUCAGCCACACUGGGACUGGGACACGGCCCGGACUCCUCCGGGAUGCAGCAGUGGGGAAUAGUGCAAAAUCGCGGAAAGCAUGAACCAGCACUGCCGGGUGAGUUAUGAAGGCCUUAGGGUUCUAAAGCUUUUUUACCCGGGAUGAUCAUGACAGUACCGGGAGAAUAAGCCACGGCUAACUACGUG
rnacentral:rRNA from 1 species